CUUGUGCAGGUGCAGUAGGGACUUGGUGGUGCGGUCGUGCAGAGUCAUGCUGAUGAUGAGUUUCAGGGACUUGGAGUCCAGUAGGUUCUAGGACAGACACAUGGGGUCCGGCCUGCCCUCCCACAGCCCACACGGGCACGGGGAGGCAUCACAGGUGUCCCCGAAGCCAGGGCAGAACAGCGUCCCCGCAGCGAGUGCCCGGGCAGCAGCUCUUAGGUUUGGUCUCAGGACCACACUAUUGAUGUGGGCCCAGUGGAAUGAGGUGGGUUUGCACCUUGCACACAGCGCUGGUUCCGGGAGGGCUGAUGACAGCCUCUUUCACAGCCUGAGUGGCUGCCCCAUUUCCUCUUCCUCUGGGUUAGAGAGGAAGCCAGUGCUACUGAACCUGGCCGUCCCUCUCCUCUGCAUAGCUCCUACAGUUUACAUUACUUGAGUCAAGAAGGGCCAGGUCCUUUCUGUGCCAUCCGCAUGAGCUCAUCGGACAGGCCACCAUCAUGUGUCAGCCAGUUCUAUCAGCUGACAAGAGGAAUUAGCCCUCUCCCAUCUGCUAACUAGACUGCAAGGCUAUUCUUACUCUUCUUGCAAAUUUCUUAAAUUGCUGCACUUGUAUGUGGAAACGAGACAGAGCGCUUGGGAGGUUCUCUGUCCUGUCUGGAAGCAGCCCAGUAGCCAGGGACUGAAGAUGGGGGUGUUAAACGGAAGGGUCCCAUUACGUUGGGGCAGGAUGAGCUCUGUGGUGCUAUGAACCCACUAGAGCUCCCCAUGGGACCAGGCUGAGGCCAGACUUCAGCUAUGCUUACGCCCCUAGCUUCCUCCCUCACCCCUUCUCUCUGCCUUCUCACGUAAGCCCUCUUCCAUAAGCCGCUGUGUGUGCAAAUACCCCAUCUCAGACCCUGCUUCUGGGAAACCCAUAAAGAGACAGCUCUAAAUCAUCUCAACACGAGAACAUUUUUUUUUUCUUGGAGGGAGGGGGAGAUAGUGGGAAGGAGGAGGAAAUGAAGUUGCAGAAGUGAAAGCUCUCAAGACGGGCAGAGAAGCAAGAUAUCUUGGAACGUGUCGCGCGGGGUGUGUUUUUUUUUUUACCUUUGGAAUGAUCUGCUUUUGUUUGAUACCUUUACUUUUCCUGUCAAAAUAUUAAAAAUGGUUUUGUGAACAAAAGGAACACAGUGUCGGGAUUUGGGUUAGUUCAGCAAGCCACGCCUGGCGGGUUAGACUGAGAGACACAGAGAGAGGGGAGAGAGUGAGAAGGCGCAAGUGCAACAAGGCCACCGCCACCUCUCCACGCUGCACACCGUGGCGUGCCUCAGCCACUGUCUGUGGACACCAGUUUCCCUGGGUUGGCGGCACCCGGACUCUGCUGGUGGCUGCCCCAAAGCUGAGUAAAGUGUUUAGUCUGGGGGCCAUUCGGAUGUCUGAGAAGUAGGAGGGGCUGGCUAGGAAUCUACAGGGUGGGACGUGCAUCCAGCGGGGCUUGCUAUGGAGGAACUGACAUAUCCCCCAGAUCACAGCAGGAUGCCGAGUGGGGCGGAGGGAGCCUGAGCAGUCCUGGUGGUGACCAGGUGACCAGGCUGUCUUUGCCAUGUGCUGGUAGAUGCCAAGCAGGCCCACAGAGGCCCUUCUGGAACCCUCUGCUGGCAGGGCAGGGACUUGCCCUGCAAAAUAACCAAAAUGGGGCCUGGGUGGGAGCUCCUUUCAGGAUCAUGCUGGUGGGAAAGAAGAAAACCAAAGCUGGCCAGGCGCAGUGGCUCACGCCUGUAAUCCCAGCACUUUGGGAGGCUGAGGUGAGCGGAUCACCUGAGGUCAGGAGUUCAAGGCCAGCCUGGCCAACAUGGUGAAACCCUGUCUCUACUAAAAAUACAAAAA
rnacentral:lncRNA from 1 species